AUGGCCUGGUCCUAUCUCCUCUUCACAUUCACUGUUCAGUGCACAAGGUCCUGGGCCCAAUCUGUGCCGACUCAGCAGCCCUCACUGUCUGGGACUCCAGGACAGAGGGUCACCAUCUCUUGCACUGGAAGCAGCAACAAUAUUGGAGAUGGCUAUUAUGUAAGCUGGUGUCAGCAGUUCCCAGAAAUAGCCUCCAAACUUCUCAUCUAUGAAAAUAGUAAUCGACCCUCAGGAGUCCCUGUUUGCUUCUUUGGCUCCAGAUCUGGAAACUCUGGUUCCCUGACAAUCACUGGACUCCAGUCUGAGGAUGAGGCUGACUAUUUCUGUCAGUCUUAA